rnacentral:rRNA from 1 species
AGUAGUUUGAUCCUGGCACAGGACACGCUGGCGGCGUGCUUAACACAUGCAAGUCGAGCGGACGUAGCAAUACGUUAGCGGCGGACGGGUGAGUAACGCGUGAGCAACCUGCCUUUAUCAGGGGGAUAACACUUAGAAAUAGGUGCUAAUACCGCAUAAGACCACAGUCGGGCAUCCGACAGGGGUAAAAGCAUAUACGGAUAAAGAUGGGCUCGCGUCCCAUUAGCUAGUUGGUAGGGUAACGGCCUACCAAGGCGACGAUGGGUAGCCGACCUGAGAGGGUGAUCGGCCACAUUGGAACUGAGAAACGGUCCAAACUCCUACGGGAGGCAGCAGUGGGGAAUAUUGGGCAAUGGAGGAAACUCUGACCCAGCAACGCCGCGUGAAGGAUGAAGGUUUUCGGAUUGUAAACCUUCUGUCGCGAGGGACGAAGAAUGACGGUACCUCGUAAGAAAGCCCCGGCAAACUACGUG